GGCUCAGAUUGAACGCUAGCGGGAUGCUUUACACAUGCAAGUCGAACGGCAGCGCGGACUUCGGUCUGGCGGCGAGUGGCGAACGGGUGAGUAAUGUAUCGGAACGUGCCCAGUAGCGGGGGAUAACUACGCGAAAGCGUAGCUAAUACCGCAUACGCCCUAAGGGGGAAAGCAGGGGAUCGUAAGACCUUGCACUAUUGGAGCGGCCGAUAUCGGAUUAGCUAGUUGGUGGGGUAACGGCUCACCAAGGCGACGAUCCGUAGCUGGUUUGAGAGGACGACCAGCCACACUGGGACUGAGACACGGCCCAGACUCCUACGGGAGGCAGCAGUGGGGAAUUUUGGACAAUGGGGGCAACCCUGAUCCAGCCAUCCCGCGUGUGCGAUGAAGGCCUUCGGGUUGUAAAGCACUUUUGGCAGGAAAGAAACGUCGCGGGCUAAUACCCCGUGAAC
rnacentral:rRNA from 1 species